UAACCAUACGACUACGGACGCUGGAAGAUCGCAUCAUCGGCUGUCGCAUUUCAGGCAAUGAAAUUAUUUGCGGCUUCGGUGUUCUUCGCCCUGUAUUCCACGUUGUGCUAUUGCGAUUAUGAUCUCUCGGAGAGCUCCAAUGACAAUGGCAGGAAGCUUCGAGAUGCCAAGAAGGCAAGUAUUAUUUUCUGAAUCUUGCGUCCACUCCAGUACCCUGCAGUUUGUAGCCUACAAAUAAAAAAAAAAAACUCAUGAAACUGCAGUGUGCGUGUUGGGAACUCCUUCAGCUACAGCUGCUAUAAUUAUCCACCACUGUAUAACAUAGUAUGCUUUACGUCACUACAUAGCUAAAUGUUUAACGUAAAAGUAAGCUUUGGACGUCCACAUCUGUUUUAUGGGAACAUUUGAGCAGUUCACAUGUUCAUAGGGCAUACGGCUAAAUUAUUGGUAACACACGAUCAGAUUUUUAGCGGUAGUUGUGAAAGGGGCUCGUAUCAAUCAACAAUGUCCUCAGAAACGCUUACGUGC